CGUAAACGUAACUGUAAACAGCAGUACACGUAUCAUAGCGUGUCAGAGAGACAGUUGUUUUAUUUCGAUUUCGAUAACACUCAUGCAAACGCUGUCAAUUCAUUCACUUUCUCGUCUUUCCUUGGUUGGUUUACUGGCGUACUACCCCUCGCAAAAAACAUUAGCUAAUAAAUAAAAUGGGCAAAAAGGAAAAGAUUACUGAGAGUCUUUUUACCAAAGAAGAAGAACAACUAUUGUCGGAUUUCAGCAGAAAUGUUUCCACCAAGUCUUCGGCAAUGUUUUAUGGCAGUGCUUUCAUGGUGUCCUUACUGCCGAUCUGUGAGUAUACUUGUAUACAAUUUUACACUUAACGAAAAAUGACUUGUUCAUAACUAAUCGUUCAUAGGGCUCUAUUGGAGAAUACACAUGAUCGAAAUAAUGCCCGCCCUUCUGUGGUUCGUUCUAGUCACAUUGGGCAGCACUUAUCUCAUUGCUUUUGCAUAUAAAAACACUAAGUUCAUACUGAAACAUAAGGUAUGCAUUUACUGUACUCUUAUAUCAUAUGUCUGGAGACAAGAAAGUAAAGUUAUAAUUUAUUUUUAGAUUGCAAUCAAAAGAGAAGAAGCUGUAACUAGAGAAAUUACUAGAAAGUAUGCCGACGAUAAGAAAAUUAGCAAGAAAGAAAAAGAUGAAAAGUAUUACAUUUAAUUAUAAUUAUUAUUAAAUGAUUACAAUACAUUUAGUAAAUAAGUAUGGGGCACUUCACUUAAAUCAGUCUAUAGUCAAAUUAUUUACUACCUAUAAAAUUUAAUAAUUUAAUAAUUAAUUGUUCUUACUGUAUUACUGAAAACGUUAAUUCUAAUUUAUAUUGAGGAUAUAUGUUAUAAUAACCUGUCUGUUUCUUUUGAAACAUCACAUUAAAUCUAAAAUGUGUGUUAUUUUAAUUUUAAUCAAGUAAUUUCAAAAGAGCUUCUGCUAUUAUUUUUUUACUUUUAGUUAAUAAUACAAGGGGGUAUAAGAAAUAACAUUAUGAUAUCUUACUAACUUAGUUUUAAAAAUAAAUUUAUUUGUUAUGCUGGUUAUUUAAUGCACAUUUUCCAAAUUUGAGAUUUGGUAGCAUUUUAUUAAUCAGUGACAGUUUUUUAAAAUAUAUUGGUGGCCAAAGGGAAAUUUCUGAGGACCCACCUAUUCAUAAGAUACAUAUAAGUUAUAUUUAAUUGAAACUAUAAAACCUGUAGAGAAAUCAACCUCCUAAUGUUAAGUUUAAUUAGGUACCACUAAAUUACGUUAUCAAUCACCCACCAAAUUGUUUAUCUACAUGUUCUUCGGCAAGCUAGAUUAUCAAUCAGAUGAACAAUCCGAUGGAUUUCGAUGUUCUUCAUCAAACUCGAUUAAUCUGAUUAAUAAUUAGAUUGCUUCUCGAUGCAUCAGAUUUUCAAUCAACAAAAUAGUCUGUUUACAAGUUAUUAACUGUGUUAUUAACAUUUAGUCAUAACAUUUUUUUUCCGACAUUUCUCGUCCAAUUAACCUUUAACAAACAAACCUAUUAUUGUAUAAUAUUGGUAUAAUUAAUAAAUGUUAGUAAAUCUGUACAUUUUUUUUCUUAAACUAAAAUAAAAGUAUUUAUUAUCUGUUGAUAUCAUUGUUUAAGUGAGUCACGGCUGGUUUAGCUGUAUUUGGCCUAUGCAAAAACAUAUUAUUUAUAACAAUACCGAAAUAAUUUAUAUAAAAGUAGUGGAGUAGGUACAUACUAGUGUAAUAAUACUUUGUUAUAAACAUUAUUUCAACAACCGCCGUUCUUAUAGUAGUUUAUUUGUCUGCUGAUAAUCUUAUUCGGUCUUGUGUAUUAAAUAUUUUAAUCAUAAUUUUAUUUUUUAAAGUUGUAUUUAUAUUUUUCUAUUUCUAAGUCUAAAUUAUUUAUUAUGACCUUAGAAUGCGUAAAAAGUACUUAAUAAAAAAAUAAAUAAAAGAUAUGUAAAAAGUAAAAUACUGGCGAUUUUAGUUUAAGAAAAAAAAGAGGUUUGAGGUUAAUUGGACAGCAAGGAUGUGACCUGCUACCGAUAUGAAUUAUUUUCAAGGUAUUAGUUAUUCAAAUUAGAUUAUUAUUUUAUUAAUACAAUUAUAUUUAUUCAAUUGUUUUUUAAUUGUCAUUAAUUAUUAAUAUUUUAUUGUUUGAUUUUAGAGCAUUAUUCCAAAAAAAUGAUGUUGCCGAUUUUGAAUCAACAGCAUUUUCAAUUUUCUAUAACAACGCAUUAUUUUUGGUCAUUGUAGUUUUGCUGAGUUUCUAUCUUCUAAAAGGAUUUUCAACAACAGCGUAUCCUUUUAAUAAAACUACAUUUUUAAAAUAUUUUAAUAGUCUGGUCAAGUCAUAUAAAAUGUUAAAUUUUUUUAUUAACCCGUCACUGGUCACAUUCUUUUAUAUUUGGUUGUAUAGGGUAAACAUUUUCUACUACACAAAAUAUUUUGAAAUUAUUUCUUUAAAUUGCAAUCUUGUACCUUAUAAAAACUCAUUCAUGGAUAAAAAUAAUUAUUUUAUUAACCUUAAACAAAUAACAUUCCAUAUUACUGUAUAAAUAAAAAUUAAAAAAAAAACUUUCUUUACUAAUCAGUCGCAUGGGUUAAUAUUUUCCAUAUGAGAUACAAACCAGGGUUACACAACCAAACACACUAAAAUAGUUUUCAAUAAAUUAAAUGAUAUAAUCAAAAAAUGGUAUGAUUUCAAUAAGCUAGCAAAGUUAUGAACCCGUCAUACAAAUAAUAUCUAUAAAAAAAACAUUUAUAAAUACUCUAGGAGAUUAUUUAUCCCAUGCGACUAGUGAUGGGUUAGUAAAUUGACGUGGCAAUAAUGCUGCGGUAAAAAAGUCUUGUGUUAAAAUGAGGCAAAUACAAAAUGUUGCUACAUAAAAAAAAUCAACUUCUUCAAUUUUUUAUUUUUAUCAGGUUAUCAGAUUUUAAUGUAAAUGCACUAUUAUUAUUUUAAAUGCAUUAGUGAUAGUGAAUGUGUUAAACAUUGUCAUUUAUACAGUUUAUAUGGUUGACAUUUACAAUUUUAUUAUUUUUACUUAUAACAAUUAAACUUUAUAAAAAAAGAUUGUUUGUUCUUAAAAAUUGUGGGAAGUUUAAUAUGUUUAUAAUAAAUAAUAAUUUAUUAUACUUGAUAUAAAAAUUGUGCAAAAAUUGUUGGUUUACAAUACUAUUUACCUACGUAAUAGUAGUAAUUCAGUAAAUUUCAGACUAUUAUAUCACUAAUUGUCCUAUUACUAUAUAAAUUCAGUUGAACAUAAUACUUUACCAUCACAGUGUCAUCAUGUUUUUCGAAUUUAUAUGAAUCAAAAAAAUGGAGAACUACUAAAGUUUAAUAAUUUUAUUUUUGAAAGUCUAUUAUUCCAUAAACUAAUAAUUUAAUUGAGUGUUGGCAUAAUUAUUUCAAUUCAAUUUUGAGUUCUUGCGGUUAUCAAUCGAUUUGAUUUAUUAAGAAAAUAUAAAUGCUUAAAUAAUUUUAAAAUUAAACAAUUUAUUGCUGGUGCCAUACCACCCGCAAAAAAUACCAAGGACUAAGCAGUAAGACUAACAAAUGUUAGUAACUGAAUAUAAUCAAAACUAUAAUUAGGUGAACAUAAAGUUGAUUGCUGGGUUUUUACAAAAUUUUAUAUGGCAACAUUUUUGUACUAGCAUCAUUUUGAUGUAGAUUUACAUAACACAUUUCCUGCUAACAAAUAUAAUUAAUAUGCAAGAAAAAUACUCUUAUGUCAAUGGCUAUGAUAAAAAAAAAUAUUAUUUUCAAUUUAAUGUUUAACAAUUAUUUAUGUUUGAAUAGGAUUUAUGUAUAUAUUAUCUUAACUCAAGUAUUUUCAGAAAUUACAUAUUUUCUGUUGGAAUUGCUAGUGGAUUAAUUGCAUUGUUUUCCACUGGAACUCAGUAAACAUGUUUCAUGGUAUGUCUACCUCAAUAUCUAAAAGUCUAAAUUUAAGAUUCAAAAGAAAUAUUGGGAUUUGAAAUACUUGUGUUUACAAUUUGUAUAAGAAUAUUCUAUUAGUAAAAUAACUAAUACUGUUAUUGAUUUUUUUUUUUUUUUACUUAAAUUUAACUUUAAUAAAAUGUUAAAUUUAUUUACCUGAAACAACUUAAUAUAAUAGUUUACAUUUGUUUAUUUAUUUAUUUUUUUAUUUUUUAUUAAGAUCACUUAAAAAAAUUAAUUUUGAAGAAUAUCUUGUCAUACUUUUAUAAAUAUAUUAUAUGUUUUUUUUUUUUUAUAUAUCAAAUAAUAAAUAUUUAAAAUUGUACUAUGUGAAAUAUUAAGUGUAUUUUUCAUGGUAUGCCAUAUAUUAAAUUUGCAUGCAAUGAAAUAUCUAGCUAUAAUAAGAAUAAUAUUUGUAUGGGUAUAUUUUAUUUAAUUUUCAAUUAAUUUCAAGACCAACAUAUAAUAUUAACAUCUGCUAACAUUGGUGUAAUUUUAUGGGGGGAUAAAAAAGUCUUAAAAUGUAUGCUAAAUGAAGGUCUAAAUUUCAAUUUAUUACAAGUAUUUUUUUCUGGAGGGGCAAGUGUCUCGUCUUACCUUCUCCCAUAAGGGUUCAAUUGUCUUUUAACACUUACACUAAAAUAUUUGAUAGUAUACUCGUAGACUAGAAAUAUCAUAUAAAACGGGCUAAUAUUACUGGUGUAGGUGGGAAUGUAGGGAAGAUAGGUUAUUUAAUUUAGAUCUGUACACAAUUAUAAAUCAUUAAUGACAAAAUAUGAUGCUUUUAAAAUAUGUUUUGAAAUGACAUGAUUCUUAUAAUUUUCCUUAAUAUUUGUACUUAAAGUAUUAAAAAAAAAAAAAAAUACUACAUUACUUUAUUUUUAACCAUAAGUACCUAUAAUUUCUGAUGAAUCUUGUGUAAAAUUCUCAAACAUUUCUUUUUAUCCAAAAUAAUUUUAAAAAAUAAACAAUUAUUUUAAACCGCAUUACAAUGAAAAACAAAAUUGAUAAUUAUGAAACUAUUAUUUUAAUCAACUCUCCUGAUUUGACCAGGCUUUUUCCACUGAUCAUGACAACACCAAGGAAAAUUUUUAAAUUUUCCCCUUAAUUCACAAAUAGAUCUAAAAUGCUACAAAACAGUUUUCUUAUAAUUUUUUGAUUGAAACAUUUCUGGUAAAAAAGUUUUUCAUAGACACAAACCAAGUGAUCACUUAUCAUUAAUUUUAUUUUUAUUUAUUUUAAUUGAUCACUAAGUCAAAUAUUACUCGUUCUGCUCAGAAUCUAUAAAAUUAUACGUUUUAAAAAAGAUUGUAAAUUAUAAAGUUUUGUUUUCUUUGUGAAACGUUUGCUAUAUGAUGCAGCUAUAAAAGUUUUUGUCCAUCCCACAAAGUAAAAAAUGAAAUACCUACCGACAAUAAAUGUAAGAGAAGAAUUUUUAAAAAUACUUAUUUAUUAAUUAAAUCUUCAAAAUUACAAAAACACCUUAAAUAAAUUUGAAUGAUGAUUUGUUAGAAACUUUAAAAAUUAAAUCUCUAUUCUAAUUUAUUGAAGUCUUAUUCUUAUUAUAGGAAUCUUAUACCAAAAUUGUGUAACUAAAUAUAUUUUAGUUCGUGUUUAAUUAGUCACAAGCAGUAUCUAGUGUAAAUACAUAUUAAAGUGCCUUAAGGCAAAAUAUUUUUUUUCACUCCUUGAAUAAAAAAUAUUAAUCAUAC